rnacentral:rRNA from 1 species
CCUACGGGUGGCUGCAGUGGGGAAUAUUGCACAAUGGGGGAAACCCUGAUGCAGCGACGCAGCGUGAGUGAAGAAGUCUUUCGGUAUUUACAGCUCUAUCAGCAGGGAAGAAAAUGACGGUACCUGAUUAAGAAGCCCCGGCUCACUACGUUCCAGCAGCCGCAGUAAUACGUAGGGGGCCAGCGUUAUCCGGAUUUACUGGGUGUAAAGGGAGCGUAGACGGCAUAACAAGUCUGGAGUGAAAUGCCGGGGCUUAACCCCGGAACUGCUUUGGAAACUGUGCAGCUAGAGUGCAGGAGAGGUAAGGGGAAUUCGUAGUGUAGCGGUGAAAUGCGUAGAUAUUAGGAGGAACACCAGUGGCGAAGGCGGCUUACUGGACUGUAACUGACGUUGAGGCUCGAAAGCGUGGGGAGCAAACAGGAUUAGAUACCCGAGUAGUC